UUUGAUUUGUAUAUGCAUGAUAGUCAUUUUGAAAUCCCUAUAUGUGAAAACUCAUAAUUUUCCCUUCACUACGUACCCUAACAUGGAUCAAGUCAUUCGUAGUUCACAUUAGUUAUAUGCAAUAGUCAAUUUAUAAACGUUUGUGGAAUUGUCAAUCAUAUAUUUAAUAUAUGAUAGAAAGGAAAAGACCCACUCACCUGAGGUCUGCGUUACGACUUCCUAGAACGCAUAUCGAGACAUCACAAACCAUCGUCGCCUAUGACCAAUUAUCAAAUCACAUCUCAAAAUUCAUAUUGAUAAAAUACACAAUUUACAUAAAACGCAUCUCUAUGUAAUUCAAUUCGGAAGAUCUGCAUCACGGAUUUCCAAUCCGUUGCUUCCAAAGAUCCACAUUAUACUUCUAGAGCAACAUCCUAAAGUCCUAUUAUGAUCCAAUGGACGUAUCUCCGCCAAUUGCCAAAAACUAAGUGGCGGUUAACGUUUAUUUUUCGAACUUACAAUUCCAUUUCGGGAAGAUCUGUAUAUCGGAUUCCUGAUUCGUAAGUUCCUAUGGUCCUCAAAUAUUAUGUACUAUAACAUACUAAAGUUUGGUGACGAUCCAACGGUCAGAUCAUCGAUUCAUAUAAUGACCUAUUAACGUAACGUAGAGAAUUUAGAUUCUAACAAUCAACCUAUGUCAUACAAUUACCAAGACUAAACUCAAAGCAUCUAAUUAGCCUAAGAAUAACAUCGGCGGCCCCCUGGCCACGCACCGCCGUGAGUGGCGGUCGGCCGCCGCGACUCGCCGGAAAAUCCAACUAUUUCAAAAAAUUAUCCAAAUUUACAAGAAUGAAGAUCUCAAUGAGUAGAGUAAACUUUAUACCUAUGGCCAAUUACAAUUUGGCCUGGAAGAGCCCCAAUUUUGCUAAAACCCGUCAAAAACCCUAGAAAUGGGUAUUCUUGAUUCGUCCCCAAUUCGACUCUGACUCUCCAACCAAUGAUUGGGCAUUGUUCUAGGCCUCAAGGGAAGCCUAAUGGUGGUGGAGGUCGACUGUAAUUCAUUAAAAAAUAGCGGAUUCCCACCAUAGAAGCUUUUAGGUAUCCUGCCGUAAAACGUUAUAGUUUGGUCUAAUUUUCAUCCAAUCUUGAAUGAAUGAUGAAGGAGAAGGAGUAUGAGGGUGAUUACAGGUGGUAUUUGGGUGAAAUUUGCCUGAAAAUUGGCUAGGAACCACCGAAAUCCUGCCGGGUCGAAUGGGUUGGGUGUGCGGGUUGACGGGAUCCGUUGUGAUCACACCUCUCUCCCUUCUCUCCCUUCUCUGGUUUCUGAUUGGAUCUCCUCCUUCCUCUCUCUUCCCCCCAUUCGGCCACUUUCUCCUUUUCUCUCAUGUUCCCUUUUCUUCUCCCCCCCCCCCCGUUUUCUUUCUUUUCUAUUUUUCCUCAUUUUCCCCACACACACACACCAAUAGCCUAUAAUUCAAUUAGUAAUAAUAAGAAAAAAAUAGUGUAAAAUAAUUAAAAUAGUAUUUCAUUCCAAAUACUUUCGGAUUCGUAACUCAAUAAAACUUUAACAGUAACUCCAAAAUCACUUCUACCUGUGCCUUCGCAUCUGUAAGAUCGAGCUCUAUCCAAAUAUGUCAAGAAACAUGACAAAUAUACGAGAAUCACAUACGUCCUUGAAAAAUCACGCUUUGCCCGUAGGGCAUUUCCGUAAUUUCACACAUUAAAAUUUAAAAAACCAUAAUUUUUAGGGACGGGCUGUCACAUCAAAUGAAUGUGGUCAUUCUGUUAUAAUUCUGUCUAAUAUUUUAUUACAAGUCUAACUAAAUAAAUUAGAAAUAGGUCUAAUAAUUUAUAAAUUAAUUAAAAAGUUGUCAACCAAGAAACUCGGCCCCGCAGUUACCUAUGAUCCUAACCCAUACUCCUCUGCCUCCAUCUAUGUUAGCCUAUGCAUCUCUUCUUUGAAAAAAAUUUCUCAAGACACCCAUCUUUACAUCUUUCGACAACCUUCAUCAAAUUGGACUAGGAUUGAGACCACCUUUUAUGGGGCACUCCCCGGAUCUUGGUGACGUGAAGAACGAUGAGCUCUACCUUAAGAUAAUCUCAUUGUGCAAAAAGAUGUUUUGACAACUUUUUUAAUUAGUUAUUAAGCCCACAUCAACAUAUUUUCACAUAAUUGUGACAUAAUGACCACAUUGAUUUGUAAUGCCUAUUUUCAUGGACUACGUUUAUCGAUUUUCAAUUUCAAGGACCAUAUUGAUGGUGUAGGUCUCAAUUUUAAGGGAUCAUUUGUGAUAAAAUUCUAACAUCAUGUCGGCCCCAUUUAUGUGUCACAUCAACAUAUAACAAAAUUGUUGAUAGAAUUGAGAUGGAAGGUCCACUUGAUUUGCAACACUUAUUUUCAAGGAUUACAUUGAUUAAUUUUCAAUUUCAGAGACUAUUAGUGAUAUACACCUGUUUUGCUGAUAUAAUUUGCAAAAAAAUUUCAUCUGCAAGUGGACAAAAAUGAUUUUUGAUACUUGCUUGAUUCUAAGUAUCUGAGGGUUCUGUUCUCUAAAAGGCUAUAAAUCCCCUUGCUUAUAGAAUUAAAGAAAGUUAAAAAGUUGAAAUACUAUUUUCCCACCAACUAUUAUUCCUAACCUCUAAUUAUCUAUUCUAAAAUUGAGGAAGGAUUUGAUUGUAGCUUAGCUACAGUCAAAAUUUUCCCCCUUGAUUUUGCUUUAUUUACACACUGCUGCCACCAAAUCUGUGUUGGGCUGGGGUAAUUACUAAAAGUUAGGAGGGUAAUAUUGUCCGUAGGUCUGGGUGCCCUAGGCCUGAUUUAGGUUUAUUUUGGGUUGUUUGUUUUGGGCCAGGUGUGGGCUUCGGAAGUGGGUUGUCCAAUGUGUUGGGCUACGUUGCACAGAAAGAGUCAAAAUCACUCUUUUGCCCUCUUCAAACCAGAUCCAACAGACAGGAUCUGGAGGCACUUAGUCAUUCUAUGUUUAGGGGUGGUUGUUGUCGAUGUCGUUAGAGGCAUGGUUGUUAGAAGGGUUGAUGGGUUGCAGGUAGAGAGAGAGUUGACGAAAGGGGUUCCGGGUGGACAGAGUGGGGUUUGGGUGCGGGAUUACAGGGAGAUAAGGUGAGAGGGUGGGUGUGGUAAUGUUCAAUUUGGGGGUAAGGUUCUGGGAAAGGGACAUGUGUUUGCUGUAGAGAGAGGGGGAGGUAUGGUUGCCCAUGGGGGGUGGGGUUGUGGGGAAGGAGGUGUAGGUUGAGGUACGGGUGUAGGGUUGGUUAUUUCCACACCAAAAAUCAUCAUCCUUUUUUCAGUAAAUAGAAUUAGUACUAGAUGAACAGAGUUCCUCUCUGCAACUCCUCCUCCAUUACUGCAUUCGAAUUUUCUACAAUGGUGAGUAAUUCAAACGCUUCUUUUGUUCGAUCGUGUUGUUUAAUUUAAUUUGAAUUCUUUCCGAUUUUUUUUUCGGUGUAUGGGUUAUGAAUUUCCAUGUUUUCGGUAUUUAUAUGCAGCUGAUUGCUUUCGUCGCUUUUUAUCCAUACCAUUUGGUUCAAAGAAUGAAAACACGCAUUAACCUGAGAAAUCUUAAUAGUUGUUUACAAAUUAGUAAUUAACUUUGUAGUGUGGAUGGCUGAUGUUUUGUUAUACUCUAUACAAAGGCUCUUGAUUGUUCCUAAUGGUUUUCUCUUGCCUAAUAAUCAGGUGAACAUAAAGGUUUAUGUGGAUUUACGUGUUGGUGAUGUUAUUCGUUUUGGACUGUGUGAGUAUCUCCUUAUCUUAACUCUCACUCUGCAACGCGAUUAACCAUUUCUUCGAUCUCUGUAUCGUUUUCUCUUCAAUCCUGCUUUGCAAUCUCCUUUGUUCACCCCACCUUCUCAUCUCCGUUGGUACUUCCACCAACCAAUGAAGUGCCUGGAGUUUGAACAUGAAAUGGCCAGGAGGCUGCCCAGUGCAAGGUAGCUUUUCUUUUUUUACUUUUCUGGUUAAAAUGUCUAUGUGGGUUUGACUUAAUUACUGCAAUUGAUAAAUUAUUGGUUUUGGUUGAUGGUUUACAUUGCAUGGGUUUUUCUUAUGGGUUUUGCUUGCAUUUGGUUUUGGCAGGUAUAUUUGAUCUCCCUUGCACACCUCGCCUUCUCAUCGUCGUCGCACACCUUAACGUAUAAAUUGUAUGGAUUGCACGCCUAUUUUAAUCUUCGUUAACGAAAUUAGCGUUUAAGUUGAAUAAUUCAUACUCUUUUGAUAUUGGAAAUUAGGAUCUUAUUUCUCAGUCCUAUGCUUCUUUGCUGUAUAAGAUGAAUUUGGUUAUAUUACUCAGAAACGGGACGAGAUAUUUUUUUUUUCCAGUGAGAGAGUGAAAAUCCCUAGCCUUUAGAUUUUCAAGUAUUUUGUCAGCAAUAAUAAUUUGUUUUUUCAGCUUUAUAUGCGUGUUGUCUCCAAACAUGAGGAUCUCUUAAUUUGCUUAUGUAGCUUUUGUGAUAUGAUGAUCUCUUAAUUUGCUUUUGCAUAUUUUCUUUGCUUCCUCUGCUAGCUCUAUAUGUGAUUCUACUCCAAAUAAUUAUUCCAUAUUUCCUAUUUUUAUAGGAACCAAAUCAUUGAAUACACAUGGAAAAUUAAAAGGGUUUUAGUUUUUGGAUUGGUUU
rnacentral:lncRNA from 1 species